rnacentral:pre_miRNA from 12 species
GAAAGAUGCUAAACUAUUUUUGUGAUGUGUUCCUAAUAUGCAGUAUAAAUAUAUUGGGAGCAUUUUGCAUGCAUGGUUUUGUAUCAAUAUA